GACGAACGCUGGCGGCGUGCCUAAUACAUGCAAGUCGAACGAGCGGCGGACGGGUGAGUAAUGUAUGGGGACUGCCCGAUAGAGGGGGAUAACUACUGGAAACGGUGGCUAAUAACGCAUACUAUCGGAUAACCCAUAUGGGAUUAGCUCGUAGGUGGGGUAAAGGCUCACCUAGGCGACGAUCUCUAGCUGGUCUGAGAGGAUGAUCAGCCACAAUUGGAAUGAGACACGGCCCAGACUCCUACGGAGGCAGCAGUGGGGAAUAUUGCACAAUGGGCGCAAGCCUGAUGCAGCCAUGCCGCGUGUAUGAAUAAGGCCUUAGGGUUGUAAAGUACUUGCAGCGGGGAGGCGUUACCCGCAGAAGAAGCACCGGCUAACUCCGUGCCAGCAGCCGCGGUAAUAC
rnacentral:rRNA from 1 species